UUGCGAAUAUAUCACAUUGAAACACCGGUUCUCGUACGACCAUCGAAGUUAAGCAACGUCGAGCCUGGACAGUACUUAGAUGGGUGACCGCUUGGAAAUACCGGCUGCUGUAUG